UAGGAGAUGGACUUGAUGGAGGACCAACAACUGGAGAUGGAGGGGGUUUUCUUUUGGAUGAUGAUUUGCUUAGUUAGCAUCAUGUCAAAAGAAAUAUGGAGUUAUGGGCACCUCAGACAACAAAGCUCAAAGAUCAGCCUCGAUUCAUCAGAUUCAUCAGGCUGAUCGACGAUUAAUCGGCCUCGGCCGAUCAGACAGCAUUGCACAGAACAUCUCUCCCUCUACUCUCCAACACCUACCUCAAGUAAAUAUAUCAUUGAGGUUGGAGACUGAAGAAUAGAGUUAUGUCAGUUAUGUUGGAAAAUUAAGGUUGGAGACCAAAGAACAGAGUUAUGUUGGAAAGGGCAUAAUUGAAUAGAGGUGGUAAAUACCCUUG